CUUGAUCCUAAUCAAACCUCCAAGAAAAACCUCUAAGGCUAGGCUAAAACUGCCCGUACCGUAAACCGACACAGGUAGUCGAGAUGAGUAUUCUAAGGCGCUCGGGUGAGCCGCGGAGAAGGAACUAGGCAAAUUAACGCUGUAACUUCGGGAUAAAGCGUACCGUCUUUGACGGUCUCAGUAAAUUGGUUCAACCAACUGUUUAGCAAAAACACAGGGCCCUGCAAAAUCGUAAGAUGACGUAUAGAGCCUGAUACCUGCCCGGUGCUGGAAGGUUAAGGAAGGAUGUUCGGCGCAAGCCAAAGCUUUCGACUGAAGCCCCAGUAAACGGCGGCCGUAACCAUAACGGUCCUAAGGUAGCGAAAUUCCUUGUCGGGUAAGUUCCGACCUGCACGAAUGGUCUAAUGAGUUGAACACUGUCUCCUCCGCGAGCCCGGUGAAAUUGUAGUAUCGGUGAAGAUGCCGGUUACCCGCCACGGGACGAAAAGACCCCGUGAACCUUCACUACAGCUUUACAUUGAUUUUGAGUAACAGAUGUGUAGAAUAGUUGGGACGCUACGAAGCCAUGCCGCCAGGUGUGGUGGAGCGGUCGUUGAAAUACCAACCUCUGUUACUUAGAGUCUAAUCCCGAAAGGGAGACAUUGCAUGGUGGGUAGUUUGACUGGGGUGGUCGCCUCCUAAAAAGUAACGGAGGCUCGCAAAGGUGCCCUCAGCAUGGUUGGUAAUCAUGCGUAGAGCGUAUUAGUAUAAGGGCGCUUGACUGUGAGACUGACAAGUCGAGCAGGUGCGAAAGCAGGCUAAAGUGAUCCGGUGGUUCCGCAUGGAAGGGCCAUCGCUCAAAGGAUAAAAGGUACUCCGGGAUAACAGGCUGAUCUCCCCCAAGAGCUCAUAUCGACGGGGAGGUUUGGCACCUCGAUGUCGGUUCGUCACAUCCUGGGGCUGGAGAAGGUCCCAAGGGUUCGGCUGUUCGCCGAUUAAAGUGGCACGUGAACUGGGUUCAGAACGUCGCAAGACAGUUCGGUCUCUAUCUGUGGUGGGCGUUAGUAAAUUGAGAAGACAUGACCUUAGUACGAGAGGACCGGGUCGUACACACCGCUGGUGUAUCUGUUGUGCCGCCAGGUGCAGUGCAGAGUAGCUAUGUGUGGCAAGGAUAAGCGCUGAAAGCAUCUAAGCGCGAAACCUUCUUCAAGAUGAGUUUACUUUUAAGGGUCGUAGUAGACGACUACGUUGAUAGGCUAUAGGUGUAAAGCUAGUAAUAGCAAAGCCGAGUAGUACUAAUUGCCCGUAAGCUUCUAAG
rnacentral:rRNA from 1 species